AGAAUCAUGGCCACAAUUCAUCAAGCAUAGCACAUCGAACACGACAUGCAUCAAGAAGGAUAUCCACAGAGCUAAACAAUUUGUCUAAUCACCAACAUGGAACUAUGCUGCAGAAAAUAAAAAGCAAUGAUGUUUUAUUUUCACAGAACGAGCCUCAGGCUGAAGAAAUCUCGGGUGAUCUUAAUCAGCAUUCAGUGCGGAAUGCAGUUGAGAGAGGACUCCAGGCUAGUAAUUUAUAUUUAGCCAAGGUUUGCUCAUGUCUAACUACUAG